rnacentral:misc_RNA from 1 species
GACGCUUGCCUGCAUCGAUUUGCAACCCUUUGCCUUGAGCACACAGCACGGAUUAAUGCCCUGUAAACGGAUAAAGAGAAGAUGCCCGAAGUGUAAGUGGUUCUAUUCUGCGGUUUCCGUGGUUUCAACAUGAAUUUACAUUUCGCGCAGGCUUUGGCGAUUGAUCAUCCCUUAUGCAGUGUCUGCUUAGCUAGUAGAUAUGGAAGUGCUUUGCUAUUGCUGCCAGCGUAAAACACCAGAUCGGUGCCUCCCGCAAUCUUUCCACCGCUUUAUUGUACGAAUUCCUUGCAAAUUAAUUAUUAAAAUUUUUGUUGUGCACUUCGGGCGGUAUGUGGCAGACGAAUUCAA